rnacentral:rRNA from 1 species
AGAAGAGUGCUUGCACUUUUGCUGACGACCGGCGCACGGGUGCGUAACGCGUNNNCAAUCUACCUCUUACUGAGGGAUAGCCCAUGGAAACGUNGAUUAAUACCUCAUGGUAUUUUAAAUUGGCAUCAAUUUAANNNUAAAGGUUACGGUAAGAGAUGAGCAUGCGUCCUAUUAGCUAGAUGGUAAGGUAACGGCUUACCAUGGCAACGAUAGGUAGGGGUCCUGAGAGGGAGAUCCCCCACACUGGUACUGAGACACGGACCAGACUCCUACGGGAGGCAGCAGUGAGGAAUUUUGGACAANUGGGCGAGAGCCUUGAUCCAGCCAUGCCGGGUGCAGGAAGACUGCCCUAUGGGUUGUAAACUGCUUUUGUAUAGGAAGAAACCUUUCCUCGUGAGGAAAAUUGACGGUACUAUACGAAUAAGGAUCGGCUAACUCCGUGCCAGCAGCCGCGGUAAUACGGAGGAUCCAAGCGUUAUCCGGAAUCAUUGGGUUUAAAGGGUCCGUAGGCGGGUUUAUAAGUCAGUGGUGAAAGUCUGCAGCUUAACUGUAGAACUGCCAUUGAUACUGUAGAUCUUGAAUCAUUAUGAAGUGGUUAGAAUGUGUAGUGUAGCGGUGAAAUGCAUAGAUUUUACACAGAAUACCGAUUGCGAAGGCAGAUCACUAAUAAUGUAUUGACGCUGAUGGACGAAAGCGUAGGUAGCAAACAGGAUUAGAUACCCUGGUAGUCUACGCCGUAAACGAUGGUUACUAGCUGUCCGGCCUAAUUGAGGGCUGGGUGGUUAAGCGAAAGUGAUAAGUAACCCACCUGGGGAGUACGUUCGCAAGAAUGAAACUCAAAGGAAUUGACGGGGGCCCGCACAAGCGGUGGAGCAUGUGGUUUAAUUCGAUGAUACGCGAGGAACCUUACCAGGGCUUAAAUGCAGUCUGACGUACUUGGAAACAGGUAUUUCUUCGGACAGAUUGCAAGGUGCUGCAUGGUUGUCGUCAGCUCGUGCCGUGGGGUGUCAGGUUAAGUCCUAUAACGAGCGCAACCCCUGUGGUUAGUUGCCAGCACGUAAUGGUGGGAACUCUAGCCAGACUGCCGGUGCAAACCGUGAGGAAGGUGGGGAUGACGUCAAAUCAUCACGGCCCUUACGUCCUGGGCCACACACGUGCUACAAUGGUAGGGACAGAGAGCAGCCACUUCGCGAGAAGGAGCGAAUCUAUAAACCCUAUCACAGUUCGGAUCGUAGUCUGCAACUCGACUACGUGAAGCUGGAAUCGCUAGUAAUCGCAUAUCAGCCAUGAUGCGGUNNNNNNGUUCCCGGGCNNNGUACACACCGCCCGUCAAGCCAUGGAAAGCCGGGGGUACCUGAAGUCCG